GACGAACGCUGGCGGCGUGCCUAAUACAUGCAAGUCGAGCGAGUCUGCCUUGAAGAUCGGAGUGCUUGCACUCUGUGAAACAAGAUACAGGCUAGCGGCGGACGGGUGAGUAACACGUGGGUAACCUGCCCAAGAGAUCGGGAUAACACCUGGAAACAGAUGCUAAUACCGGAUAACAACAGAUGAUGCCUAUCAACUGUUUAAAAGAUGGUUCUGCUAUCACUCUUGGAUGGACCUGCGGUGCAUUAGCUAGUUGGUAGGGUAACGGCCUACCAAGGCGAUGAUGCAUAGCCGAGUUGAGAGACUGAUCGGCCACAUUGGAACUGAGACACGGCCCAAACUCCUACGGGAGGCAGCAGUAGGGAAUCUUCCACAAUGGACGCAAGUCUGAUGGAGCAACGCCGCGUGAGUGAAGAAGGGUUUCGGCUCGUAAAGCUCUGUUGUUGGUGAAGAAGGACAGGGGUAGUAACUGACCUUUGUUUGACGGUAAUCAAUUAGAAAGUCACGGCUAACUACGUG
rnacentral:rRNA from 1 species